GACGAACGCUGGCGGCGUGCCUAAUACAUGCAUGUCGAGCGCAGGAAACUGACGGAACUCUUCGGAGGGAAGGCAGUGGAAUGAGCGGCGGACGGGUGAGUAACACGUAAGGAACCUGCCUCAAGGAUUGGGAUAACUCCGAGAAAUCGGAGCUAAUACCGGAUAGUUCAACGGACCGCAUGGUCCGCUGAUGAAAGGCGCUCCGGCGUCACCUUGAGAUGGCCUUGCGGUGCAUUAGCUAGUUGGUGGGGUAACGGCCCACCAAGGCGACGAUGCAUAGCCGACCUGAGAGGGUGAUCGGCCACACUGGGACUGAGACACGGCCCAGACUCCUACGGGAGGCAGCAGUAGGGAAUCUUCCACAAUGGACGAAAGUCUGAUGGAGCAACGCCGCGUGAGUGAUGAAGGUUUUCGGAUCGUAAAACUCUGUUGUAAGGGAAGAACACGUACGAGAGGAAAUGCUCGUACCUUGACGGUACCUUACGAGAAAGCCACGGCUAACUACGUGCCAGCCGCCGCUGUAA
rnacentral:rRNA from 1 species